rnacentral:rRNA from 1 species
AUUGAACGCUGUCGGCAGGCCUAACACAUGCAAGUCGAGCGGAGCGGCGGACGGGUGAGUAAUGCCUAGGAAUCUGCCUGGUAGUGGGGGAUAACGUCCGGAAACGGGCGCUAAUACCGCCUACUAUCAGAUGAGUCUAGGUGGGCUUAGCUAGUUGGUGGGGUAAAGGCCUACCAAGGCGACGAUCCGUAACUGGUCUGAGAGGAUGAUCAGGCAGACGGGAACAGAGACGCGGUCGAGUCCCAUACGGCAGGCAGGAGUGGGGAAUAUUUGCGAAUGCGCGAAAGCUUGAUCCGGACAGACGGCGUGGGUGAUGAAGGUCUUCUGAUUGUAAAGCACUUAAAGUUGGGAGACGUUGCCAACAGAAUAUGAACCGGCUAACUUCGUGCCCGCAGCCGCGGUAAUUC